UCCAUGAAGCUGGAAUUGCUAGUAAUGGCAGGUCAGCAUACUGCCGUGAAUACGUUCCCGGGCCUUGUACACACCGCCCGUCACACCAUGAGAGUUGGGGAUACCCGAAGCCUGUGAGCUAACUAUUUAUAGGAGCAGCAGUCGAAGGUAGAAUCAAUGAUUGGGGUGAAGUCGUAACAAGGUAAC
rnacentral:rRNA from 1 species